GAUGAACGCUAGCGGGAGGCUUAACACAUGCAAGUCGAGGGGCAGCACGAGGUAGCAAUACCUUGGUGGCGACCGGCAGACGGGUGAGUAACGCGUAUGUAACCUACCCUGUACUGGGGGAUAACCCGGAGAAAUUCGGACUAAUACCCCAUAGAAAUAUAGAGAGGCAUCUUGAAAUAUUUAAAGUUUCGACGGUACGGGAUGGGCAUGCGUAACAUUAGCUAGUUGGUAAGGUAACGGCUUACCAAGGCUUUGAUGUUUAGGGGUCCUGAGAGGGUGAUCCCCCACACUGGUACUGAGACACGGACCAGACUCCUACGGGAGGCAGCAGUGAGGAAUAUAGGUCAAUGGGCGAAAGCCUGAACCAGCCAUCCCGCGUGCAGGAAGACGGCCCUAUGGGUUGUAAACUGCUUUUCCAGGAGGAGAAACUCUCGUACGUGAUACGGGAUUGACGGUACCCUGGGAAUAAGCAUCGGCUAACUCCGUGCCAGCAGCCGCGGUAAAAC
rnacentral:rRNA from 1 species